rnacentral:rRNA from 1 species
CCUACGGGUGGCAGCAGUGAGGAAUAUUGGUCAAUGGGCGUAAGCCUGAACCAGCCAAGUCGCGUGAGGGAUGAAGGUUCUAUGGAUCGUAAACCUCUUUUAUAAGGGAAUAAAGUGUGGGACGUGUCCUAUUUUGUAUGUACCUUAUGAAAAAGGAUCGGCUAACUCCGUGCCAGCAGCCGCGGUAAUACGGGGGAUGCGAGCGUUAUCCGGAUUUAUUGGGUUUAAAGGGUGCGUAGGCGGCACGUUAAGGCAGCGGUGAAAGUCUGUGGCUCAACCAUAGAAUUGCAGUUGAAACUGGGGGGCUUGAGUGUGUUUGAGGCAGGCGGAAUUCGUGGUGUAGCGGUGAAAUGCUUAGAUAUUAGGAAGAACUCCGGUUGCGAAGGCAGCCUACUAAACUGUCACUGACAUUGAGGCUCGAAAGUGUGGGUAUCAAACAGGAUUAGAUACCCUUGUAGUC